rnacentral:rRNA from 2 species
GAGUGAUCAAGUGUCUUAAGGGCAUUUGGUGGAUGCCUUGGCAUGCACAGGCGAUGAAGGACGUGAUACGCUGCGAUAAGCGUCGGGGAGGUGCGAAUACCCUUUGAUCCGACGAUUUCCGAAUGGGGCAACCCACCUUAGAUAACUAGAAAAUUUGAGCUGUUGGACUUUUUUGGCGUGUUGAACGGUUGCCGUUCGGCGCGCUUUUGCGCAAAGCUUGAUGGGUAUUUACCCAUACAGACCGCCAGGUCGUCGGCCCAUGUGGGCCGCCCUCGCGGAGCGCCAGCAUCCGGCAGGAUGCGUACGGCGCGUGAGCGAAAAACAGAACAUCUCAUCUUUCUAGUUAUCGUAAUAAGGUAUCUAAUUCUGAAUACAUAGGGGUUAGAAGCGAACCCGGGGAACUGAAACAUCUA